CGCGAAGAACCUUACCUAAGCUUGACAUCCUUUUGACCUCUCCCUAAUAGGAGAUUUCCCUUCGGGGACAGAAGUGACAGGUGGUGCAUGGUUGUCGUCAGCUCGUGUCGUGAGAUGUUGGGUUAAGUCCCGCAACGAGCGCAACCCUUGCCUUUAGUUGCCAGCAUUAAGUUGGGCACUCUAGAGGGACUGCCAGGGAUAACCUGGAGGAAGGUGGGGAUGACGUCAAAUCAUCAUGCCCCUUAUGUUUAGGGCUACACACGUGCUACAAUGGGUGGUACAGAGGGCAGCCAAGUCGUGAGGCGGAGCUAAUCCCUUAAAGCCAUUCUCAGUUCGGAUUGUAGGCUGAAACUCGCCUACAUGAAGCUGGAGUUACUAGUAAUCGCAGAUCAGAAUGCUGCGGUGAAUGCGUUCCCGGGUCUUGUACACACC
rnacentral:rRNA from 1 species